CAGGAAGCCAGAAUGGACUGAAUGUCACAGCCUUUAUAACCCACACUGUGGCCGCAAGAAGAGAUUCAAAGAAAAGAAGAUCCUCCCUGCCAUUCCUCAGUGGCUGAAGUGCGUGGCCAGUCAUCAUUCGCUGAGCCCUUACUAGUAAGAUACUGAGAAUCCGACAGGUUAAAUUACUUCAAAAUCAAACAAAAAAAAUCGUAGAACUGGGAUUUAACCCUCAAAGCGUCAAUUCUGAAGUUAAAGCUUUACCCCAGGGCCUUAAGACACAGGAACUAGCAUCAGAAAUGUCUCAAAAACAUGAUGCUAUUUGGUUUCUACGUGCUUUAACUCAGCCCACAUCAGCAGCCUCUGUUCUGGAGCAGAAAUGGAAGGAAAAUUCCUGGGACUUUAGUGCUUCCUGCAGCCAGCCUCAGGCCCUUUUCUUCUACAGAUUCUGGGAUGCAAAAAUCCUACUUCUGCUCUAAAAGGAGAAAAUGUGAUUUGCAAGGAGAAUGAGAGAAAGCAUCGUUAAAAAUGCCCUAUUUAGGGAAAACUUCAGAGCCAAGACUAGAUGUAUGUUCUCAUUAUUUCACAUGUUGUCAGAGUAACCAGUACAGUGAAAAGACAGCCUUUUGAAGAAAACAAGUUUGUGGAAAGUGCUUAAUUAAGGACACUGGCAUUUAUUUUUGACAUUUAUGAGACGAGAAAUGGUCACAGAAAACUAGAUGACUUUGCUUCACAAACAUACUGAAAACAAACAAGGAGCAUCAUUCCCACCAAGUGCUGAAGCAGCAUAUACUUUAAUGCCUUAUUUUGGUCGAGCCAAUAUUUUGGUCAAGUGAUAAU
rnacentral:lncRNA from 1 species